UCAAAUAAUUUAAACUCUGAGUUAGAAAAUUCUAAUAUAUAUUUAGAAAAUUAUAGAAAGGAAAAUUCUCAUUUGGAGAUUUCUAAAGAAGAAGAAAGAACAAAACGCGUAAGGUCUUCACCAAAUUACUCAACUCAAGAAACUUCCUCACAAGAAUCUUCAAGCAAAAUUGAAUCAAGAUCAACUACAAAAGGCAGAACUGAAACACCUUCAAAAUUAACUAAGAUAUCAAAACGAAAAAUAGGGUCAAGGAAGAGAACGAGAACAUCAUCGCGUACAAUCGGCACACAGACGGAUGAAGACCCACAACCCUCCUCAAGUCGCCAGCGCAUACAAGAGCCUCUACUACCUUCUCUUCCGUUUGGGCAACUUAUUGCCUUUGAUAAGAAUGGAACUCCAUGUAAACUUGUCAUGAUGUCAAUAAACCCAAACUUCUUUAAAUAGUUAUUAUGAAUAUUUUCAUAUUUUUUAAUGUUUUUAAAUCUCGUCCUCUUGUUGUCGGCCAUUGACUAAUGAUUUAGGCAUUUGAUUAAGAUUGGAAACACUGUGCAAUUUUCUACUAAAUACGUAUACGUAAUUCUUUCGACAUUAAAUUGUGUUAGUAGCUUGCUUGCUUCUACUGUAUAGCAGAAUUUUUAUUCAAAUGAUUAAAAUUCAUCUAAAUUAAAUCUAGGAAUUAGAGUUUAAAAUUUUAUUUCGCGUCAGCUACAACAGUUUUAGGCAACUGUUAAAUUUGAUUAUAGAUUA